AGACCGCCAUGAUGACUUGCAAGCAACUCACUAUACUUAGGCACUGGACUACCUGAAUUUCUAAUUCAGUGAUGGAAGGCUGCUGGGUGUAGUCAAGUACUUGACUAGUUAGUGCGUGUGUCAAGAUGGGAUUGACCACUCCAGUUUAGGAGCUGUGUACAGUCAUGUUUCAAUUUAGCAAAACCUUGGUCAGGGUAGUCCUUGUGAGGAGUCACAGGACUGUUUG
rnacentral:lncRNA from 1 species